rnacentral:rRNA from 1 species
AGAAUCAACGCUGGCGGCGUGCCUAACACAUGCAAGUCGAACGAGAAAGUGGAGCAAUCCAUGAGUAAAGUGGCGCACGGGUGAGUAACACGUGACUAACCUACCCUUGAGUGGGGGAUAACCUAGAGAAAUCUGGGCUAAUACCGCAUAAUACCUUCGGGUCAAAGGAGCAAUUCGCUUAAGGAGGGGGUCGCGGCCGAUUAGUUAGUUGGCGGGGUAAUGGCCCACCAAGACUGUGAUCGGUAUCCGGCCUGAGAGGGCGCACGGACACACUGGAACUGAAACACGGUCCAGACUCCUACGGGAGGCAGCAGUGGGAAUUUUGCGCAAUGGGGGAAACCCUGACGCAGCAACGCCGCGUGGAGGAUGAAGCCCCUUGGGGCGUAAACUCCUUUCGAUCGGGAAGAUAAUGACGGUACCGAGAGAAGAAGCCCCGGACUAACUUCGUGCCAGCAGCCGC